rnacentral:rRNA from 1 species
CCUACGGGGGGCAGCAGUGGGGAAUAUUGGGCAAUGGGCGCAAGCCUGACCCAGCAACGCCGCGUGAAGGAAGAAGGCCCUCGGGUUGUAAACUUCUUUUAACAGGGACGAAGAAAGUGACGGUACCUGUUGAAUAAGCAACGGCUAACUACGUGCCAGCAGCCGCGGUAAUACUUAGGUGGCAAGCGUUAUCCGGAUUUACUGGGUGGAAAGCGCGUGUAGGCGGGUGAGCAAGUCAGACGUGAAAUGCCAGGGCUCAACCCUGGAACUGCGUUUGAAACUGUUCUUCUUGAGUGAUGGAGGGGCAGGCGGAAUUCCGGGUGUAGCGGUGAAAUGCGUAGAUAUAGGGAGGAACACCAGUGGCGAAGGCGGCCUGCUGGACAUUAACUGACGCUGAGGCGCGAAGGCGUGGGGAGCAAACAGGAUUAGAUACCCCGGUAGUC